CACGGGGGGAGCAAGCGUUGUUCGGAAUCAUUGGGCGUAAAGGGCUCGUAGGCGGCCAACUAAGUCAUACGUGAAAUCCCUCAGCUUAACUGGGGAACUGCGUUUGAUACUGGAUGGCUUGGAUUUGGGAGAGGGAUGCGGAAUUCCAGGUGUAGCGGUGAAAUGCGUAGAUAUCUGGAGGAACACCGGUGGCGAAGGCGGCAUCCUGGACCAAUAUUGACGCUGAGGAGCGAAAGCCAGGGGAGCAAACGGG
rnacentral:rRNA from 1 species